rnacentral:rRNA from 1 species
GAUGAACGCUAGCUACAGGCUUAACACAUGCAAGUCGAGGGGAAACGACAUCGAAAGCUUGCUUUUGAUGGGCGUCGACCGGCGCACGGGUGAGUAACGCGUAUCCCACCUGCCCAUCACUUGGGAAUAACAUUGCGAAAGUAAGACUAAUACCCAAUGACAUCCCACGAAGACAUCUGAAUGUGAUUAAAGAUUUAUCGGUGAUGGAUGGGGAUGCGUCUGAUUAGCUUGUUGGCGGGGUAACGGCCCACCAAGGCAACGAUCAGUAGGGGUUCUGAGAGGAAGGUGCCCCACAGGGUAACUGGGACACGGGCGAAAGAGCUACGGGAGGGAGUAGUAAGGAAGAUAGGACAAGGGGAUAGUGCAUGAUCCAGCGAAGUAGGGUGCAGCAUGGCGGCGCUAGGGGUUGUAAACUGCGGUUAGAAGGCAGUAAAGUGGUUUUCCUAAGAGUUUGUGACGGUAACUGAUAAAUAAGGACCGGCUAAUUCCGUG